ensembl:lncRNA
UGGUGCCUUUGGGAGCUGUGUUGCUGGGGUCUUGACUCCUGUAUCCCCAUAGACCCCACCUCCACCCCUGAAAGCCAGGGGGCUGAAGAAUCACCUUAUUCUCUGCUCCUUGCCCCUAACUUGGCUUGGGGUAACAGUGCUGGGAAGGAGAACAUUGUUAGGCUGGUGGCCCCAGCAUCCAUAGCCCUUCUAUGGAGGGCAGGGGGUAGAGUGGGCUGGGGUGGCAGCAACCAGGUCCAGGGAUUGGCCAAAGGCCCCUGAGCACUAAGUGAAAGGGCAGAGGAGCACUUUGCACAAUGGAGAAGCCAGAAGGAAGAGAGUGGCCCAGGUGGCCAGGAGGGCUGAGAAGCACAGAGGAGCUCUUCCCACAGGCGAAGGCAGAGCCCCUAGCCCCCUGGUUGGGGUCGGGGCACUGAGUCUGUCACCACCUGGGCACUGGAGAGGUGAAACCAAAGGUGGGCAGGGGGUGGGUGGCAGCACUGGGGACCACUCCGGUUGGUCCUAGGUCUGUGAAGCCCUUCCCCGAUGCCUCGUGUCGCGUACAGUUUUAUGUACAAAUAGGCGACAUCUGGCCAGAGGAGACCCCGCUCAAACCCAGCCUGACCCAGUCAGUGUCUUCCUAGAGGGGACCUAGUCUGUCCUCACCCCCUACUUCAGAGCAUGUCUCUUGGUAGGGGGAGGGUAUAUGGGGACAUACUUCUCUCCUAGGGUCCCUGAAGCGUGUCUCACAUCCCCAGGGGAGAGUCUCUGGGGCAUCCCUCACCUCUGGGGGCUCCCUAGGCCCUAUCUCUCCCCCGGGAGUCUCUAGAGGGAUAUGUCUUCCCUCUGGGGACCAAGGGAGCAUGUCUCCCCCCUACCCAGGCUCUCUGGGGAGCCUGUUUUCCUCCCAGGGUUCCUGGGAGUACUUAAGGCAUGUCAGUCUUGGGCCAUCUCUCUUCCCAGGGAAGGGGGCUAUCUCUGAAGCAUGUCUGGGAAGAGAUGUUUCUGGCCCUCCCCGCACCUCUCCUCCAGGGGUGUCUCUGACCUGCAGCUCUUGGGAUGAGACUGGGCAGCUCUAAGUUGUCUUUUCUCCUAGGGGCUCUGGGAUACCUCUAUCUCCUGAGGGCCCAGCCUCUGGAGCCAUUUCUUCCCUGGAUGGGGGCUGUCUCCUGGUGUUGGGUUGGCUUGUGUUGGCCAAGAGAAAGCCUCUUAGGGGGCGUCUCCACGUGGG